rnacentral:rRNA from 1 species
AAACUGGGAUUAGAUACCCCACUAUGCAUAGCCACAAACUUUGAUGAACAUUUACACCAUCAUCCGCCUGGGAACUACGAGCACUAGCUUAAAACCCAAAGGACUUGGCGGUGCUUUAGACCCACCUAGAGGAGCCUGUUCUAGAACCGAUAACCCCCGUUAAACCUCACCCUCCCUUGUUUUUUCCGCCUAUAUACCGCCGUCGUCAGCUUACCCUGUGAAGGCCCAAUAGUAAGCAAAAUCAGUACUACUUAAAACGUCAGGUCGAGGUGUAGCAUAUGAGAGGGAAAGAAAUGGGCUACAUUCCUUUUUUAAGGUAUACGAAAAAUAUUAUGAAAAGAAUAUUAGAAGGAGGAUUUAGCAGUAAGCAAAAAAUAGAGAGUUUUGCUGAAACUGGCCCUGAAGCGCGCACACACCGCCCGUCACCCUC